GUGAACUUCCUUCUGACUAACAAACAUUGAGGCUGACAGAUGCAGUACCGUACAAUACAUCAUGGUUGUACCUCGUUAGAAUCAGCUGAUAUUCUGAGGAACUGGGCCUCUUUUGACACCCAAUGGCUAUCUAGUUUCAGUUGACAGCAUCCUCGCUGGCCAAGGAGAGAUCAGGGACUUCAUCCAGACCAAAUGGCUCCUUAUAAAGUCUCUCUGUGGAGUCCUUCUGUCAUUGGUAUUCUGUGGGAGAGCUGCUCGACCGCAGGGAGGAUAUGGUGGGCUGUGUACGAUACGCUGUGCGUUCACUGCUGAUGAGUUGAUGAUGGUCACAGAGUUAAACAGAGUGUGAAAACACCAUCUCCCCUGGACGGACGUGACGGCCAUCUUAACUUGUCCAGCACAGCACAGGUAGUAGAGUCAAUGGGGAAAUUGCUGGAGACCUACUGUGGCCCUUCUCUCAUUUGCACACUGACAGUAUGAUCCCAUGUUUUGUAGUGGUCUUUAGUUGUAGGCGUAAGCCGACAUAUUACAUAAAGUAUUAACCAAG